rnacentral:hammerhead_ribozyme from 1 species
GUACUGAUGAAGAGUCGCAAACUAGGACGAAACAACUGGUUGUCCAGUAC